rnacentral:rRNA from 1 species
AACCCGAAAAAUACGAACAUAUGUUUAAAACUCAAAGAUUUUGGCGGUGUCUUAUAUAACCAGGGGAACCUGUCUCAUAACUCGAUAGUCCACGAAUACCAAACCCUUUCUAGAUACCUCAGCAUGUGUACUGCCGUCGUAAGCACACCUCUAAAAGUACUAAGUGUGCAACUAUGAUUAAUCAUAUACGUCAGGUCAAAGUGCAGCCAAUGAAAGGGUGAUGAUGGGUUACAAUCCUAACAAAGAAAUGGAAUAUACUUACUAACUAAUAUAUAAAGGUGGACUUGGCUGUAAUAUUAGUAAUACUAAAAUGAACCAGAAUCUAAGACAUGCACACAUCGCCCGUCACUCUCGUUCUAAGAUG